rnacentral:rRNA from 1 species
GAUGAACGCUGGCGGCGUGCCUAAUACAUGCAAGUCGAGCGAACGGACGAGAAGCUUGCUUCUCUGAUGUUAGCGGCGGACGGGUGAGUAACACGUGGAUAACCUACCUAUAAGACUGGGAUAACUUCGGGAAACCGGAGCUAAUACCGGAUAAUAUUUUGAACCGCAUGGUUCAAAAGUGAAAGACGGUCUUGCUGUCACUUAUAGAUGGAUCCGCGCUGCAUUAGCUAGUUGGUAAGGUAACGGCUUACCAAGGCAACGAUGCAUAGCCGACCUGAGAGGGUGAUCGGCCACACUGGAACUGAGACACGGUCCAGACUCCUACGGGAGGCAGCAGUAGGGAAUCUUCCGCAAUGGGCGAAAGCCUGACGGAGCAACGCCGCGUGAGUGAUGAAGGUCUUCGGAUCGUAAAACUCUGUUAUUAGGGAAGGACAUUUGUGUAAGUAACUGUGCACAUCUUGACGGUACCUAAUCAGAAAGCCACGGCUAACUACGUG